rnacentral:rRNA from 1 species
AAAUCAGGUAGGACUACCCGCUGAACUUAAGCAUAUCAAUAAGCGGAGGAAAAGAAACUAACAAGGAUUCCCCUAGUAACUGCGAGUGAAGCGGGAAAAGCUCAAAUUUGUAAUCUGGCGGUCUUGGGCCGUCCGAAUUGUAAACUAGAGAAGUGUUAUCCGCGCUGGACCGUGUACAAGUCCCCUGGAAUGGGGCGUCAUAGAGGGUGAGAAUCCCGUCUUUGACACGGACUACCAGGGCUUUGUGAUGCGCUCUCAAAGAGUCGAGUUGUUUGGGAAUGCAGCUCAAAAUGGGUGGUAAAUUCCAUCUAAAGCUAAAUAUUGGCGAGAGACCGAUAGCGAACAAGUACCGUGAGGGAAAGAUGAAAAGAACUUUGGAAAGAGAGUUAAACAGUACGUGAAAUUGCUGAAAGGGAAACGCUUGAAGUCAGUCGCGUUAACUAGGGAUCAGCCUUACUUCUGUGGGGUGUACUUCCUUGUUGACGGGUCAGCAUCAGUUUUGGCUGCUGGAUAAAGGCUAGGGGAAUGUGGCAUCUUCGGAUGUGUUAUAGCCCUUGGUUGGAUACAGUGGCUGGGACUGAGGAACUCAGCACGCGCAAGUUGUGCUUAGGAUGCUGGCAAAAUGGCUUUAUCGAC